rnacentral:rRNA from 1 species
GACAGAGGGUGCAAACGUUGUUCGGAAUCACUGGGCGUAAAGCGCACGUAGGCGGAUUGUUAAGUCAGGGGUGAAAUCCUGGAGCUCAACUCCAGAACUGCCUUUGAUACUGGCGAUCUUGAGUCCGGGAGAGGUGAGUGGAACUGCGAGUGUAGAGGUGAAAUUCGUAGAUAUUCGCAAGAACACCAGUGGCGAAGGCGGCUCACUGGCCCGGUACUGACGCUGAGGUGCGAAAGCGUGGGGAGCAAACAGG